UACAGAGGUCCCAAGCGUUGUUCGGAUUCACUGGGCGUAAAGGGUGCGUAGGCGGUCGGGUAAGUCUGAUGUGAAAUCCCCAGGCUUAACCUGGGAACUGCGUCGGAUACUGGUUGGCUUGAAUCCGGGAGAGGGAUGCGGAAUUCCAGGUGUAGCGGUGAAAUGCGUAGAUAUCUGGAGGAACACCGGUGGCGAAGGCGGCAUCCUGGACCGGCAUUGACACUGAAAAGCGAAAGCCAGGGGAGCAAACGGG
rnacentral:rRNA from 1 species